rnacentral:rRNA from 1 species
CCUACGGGUGGCAGCAGUGGGGAAUAUUGGACAAUGGGGGCAACCCUGAUCCAGCCAUGCCGCGUGUGUGAAGAAGGUCCUCGGGUUGUAAAGCACUUUCAGUGAGGAAGAACGCCUGGUGGUUAAUACCCAUCAGGAAAGACAUCACUCACAGAAGAAGCACCGGCUAACUCCGUGCCAGCAGCCGCGGUAAUACGGAGGGUGCGAGCGUUAAUCGGAAUUACUGGGCGUAAAGCGCGCGUAGGUGGCUUGAUAAGCCGGUUGUGAAAGCCCCGGGCUCAACCUGGGAACGGCAUCCGGAACUGUCAAGCUAGAGUGCAGGAGAGGAAGGUAGAAUUCCCGGUGUAGCGGUGAAAUGCGUAGAGAUCGGGAGGAAUACCAGUGGCGAAGGCGGCCUUCUGGACUGACACUGACACUGAGGUGCGAAAGCGUGGGUAGCAAACAGGAUUAGAUACCCUAGUAGUC